rnacentral:lncRNA from 10 species
CCGCUUUCUGUCAAAAUGGCAGCGCCCAGCGUGCGCGGGUAUCUCUGAAGUUGGGGUUUAAGAUUCUUGCCCGUGAGAGCGAACGAGCCUGCCGUACUUCUGAUUUUGAAACACCUGGGUCUGGGCUUCCCGGGCGAGCGGUGGAGAUGAGAUUUCACUAUGAUGUCCAGGGUGGUCUCAAACUCCUCAGUGCCUCUCCUGUCUUGGCUUCCCAAAGAGCUCAGAU